rnacentral:misc_RNA from 1 species
GCAAACUUGGUCAUUUAGAGGAAGUACAAGUCGUAACAAGGUUUCCGUAGGUGAACCUGCGGAAGGAUCAUUAACAAAUCGUGUGUUUGUGUGCGCUUUUUGUGCAUGCAAAUAUAUAAGUGCGCCAGCGUUUGCUGGAAUGCAAAAUAUUCAUGAUUAGUGUGAUAAAUAUUGGUGAUAUCAAAAAUACAACAUACUUUUAACAAUGGAUCUCUUGGCUCUUUAGAGGAAGUACAAGUCGUAACAAGGUUUCCGUAGGUGAACCUGCGGAAGGAUCAUUAACAAAUCGUGUGUUUGUGUGCGCUUUUUGUGCAUGCAAAUAUAUAAGUGCGCCAGCGUUUGCUGGAAUGCAAAAUAUUCAUGAUUAGUGUGAUAAAUAUUGGUGAUAUCAAAAAUACAACAUACUUUUAACAAUGGAUCUCUUGGCUCUUGCAUCGAUGAAGAACGCAGC